rnacentral:rRNA from 1 species
CCUGGUGAUUAUAGUCCUGGUGGUAACACCCGUUCCCAUUCCGAACACGACCGUGAAACGUCAGGACGCAGAUGGUACUAUGCCUUAAGGUAUGGGAGAGUAUGUGGUCGCCAGGU